UACGUAGGGUGCGAGCGUUGUCCGGAAUUACUGGGCGUAAAGAGCUCGUAGGUGGUUUGUCGCGUUGUUCGUGAAAACCGGGGGCUUAACCCUCGGCGUGCGGGCGAUACGGGCAGACUUGAGUACUGCAGGGGAGACUGGAAUUCCUGGUGUAGCGGUGGAAUGCGCAGAUAUCAGGAGGAACACCGGUGGCGAAGGCGGGUCUCUGGGCAGUAACUGACGCUGAGGAGCGAAAGCGUGGGGAGCGAAUGGG
rnacentral:rRNA from 1 species